rnacentral:misc_RNA from 1 species
GAUGAAGAACGUAGCGAAAUGCGAUACUUGGUGUGAAUUGCAGAAUCCCGUGAACCAUCGAGUCUUUGAACGCAAGUUGCGCCCGAAGCCAUCAGGUUGAGGGCACGUCUGCCUGGGCGUCACAUAUCGUUGCUCGAUGCCUAUCGCAUUGCGAUAGGACUUUGGGCGAAUGAUGGCUUCCCGUGAGCGUUGUUGCCUCGCGGUUGGUUGAAAAUCGAGUCCUUGGUAGGGUGUGCCAUGAUGGAUGGCGGUUGAGUGAUGAUGCUCGAGACCAAUCAUGGGUAACUCCACCAGAAUUGGGCUCGGUGACCCACAUGCGUCCCUUGGAUGCUCCCUAAGGAGACCUCAGGUCAGGCGGGGCUACCCGCUGAGUUUAAGCAUAUCAAUAAGCGGAGGA